CUAAAAACGCUAACACAUGUAUAACCUUAUAUAGGGCUAAUCCCUUACAGUCAUUGGUGGAACAGUGGGUGUUUUCUCCUAUUUGACUCCUAUUCGUCCAAAAUUUCUUGUCUUCAGCUGUGUUCGCUUGAUCGGAAUGAAAAAAGCCGGGCUCGUUCUAAAUUUGGCCACUUCCGCAUACGUCAUACGUUACGUUCGCGUCACGUGUUCCGUGAUUGAUCACAUGAUCAUUAUGCGUUCCACAUUCAGGAAGUAAAAUGGACGUGCGUUCCACAGUGGUGGCAGCCUGGAAAACAUCGUUUUUCUUUUGCC